rnacentral:rRNA from 1 species
CCUACGGGAUGCAGCAGUGAGGAAUAUUGGUCAAUGGACGAGAGUCUGAACCAGCCAAGUAGCGUGAAGGAUGACUGCCCUAUGGGUUGUAAACUUCUUUUAUAUGGGAAUAAAAUGUUCCACGUGUGGGAUUUUGUAUGUACCAUAUGAAUAAGGAUCGGCUAACUCCGUGCCAGCAGCCGCGGUAAUACGGAGGAUCCGAGCGUUAUCCGGAUUUAUUGGGUUUAAAGGGAGCGUAGGUGGAUUUUUAAGUCAGUUGUGAAAGUUUGCGGCUCAACCGUAAAAUUGCAGUUGAUACUGGCAGUCUUGAGUACAGUAGAGGUGGGCGGAAUUCGUGGUGUAGCGGUGAAAUGCUUAGAUAUCACGAAGAACUCCGAUUGCGAAGGCAGUUCACUGGACUGCAACUGACACUGAGGCUCGAAAGUGUGGGUAUCAAACAGGAUUAGAUACCCGUGUAGUC